rnacentral:rRNA from 1 species
UGGGGAAUAUUGCACAAUGGGCGCAAGCCUGAUGCAGCCAUGCCGCGUGUGUGAAGAAGGCCUUCGGGUUGUAAAGCACUUUCAGCGAGGAGGAAGGGUAGUGUGUUAAUAGCACAUUGCAUUGACGUUACUCGCAGAAGAAGCACCGGCUAACUCCGUGCCGGCAGCCGCGGUAAUACGGAGGGUGCAAGCGUUAAUCGGAAUUACUGGGCGUAAAGCGCACGCAGGCGGUUUGUUAAGUCAGAUGUGAAAUCCCCGCGCUUAACGUGGGAACUGCAUUUGAAACUGGCAAGCUAGAGUCUUGUAGAGGGGGGUAGAAUUCCAGGUGUAGCGGUGAAAUGCGUAGAGAUCUGGAGGAAUACCGGUGGCGAAGGCGGCCCCCCUGGACAAAGACUGACGCUCAGGUGCGAAAG